rnacentral:lncRNA from 1 species
CAGGCAGACCACUUGAGGUCAGGAGUUCAAGACAAGCCUGGCCAAUGUGGCAAAACCAUGUCUCUACUAAAAAUACAAAAAUUAGUUGGGUGUGGUGGCAGAUGCCUGUAGUCCCGGCUACUCAAGAGGCUGAGGCAGGAGAAUCGUUUGAACCCAGUAGGCAGAGGUUGCAGUGAGCCGAGAUUGUGCCACUGCACUCCAGCCUGGGUGACAGAACGAGACCCUGAAAAAAAAAAAAAGAAAGAAAGGAAGAGAAUACAGAAAGAAACCUUACUUUUGUAAAUUUUUCAAAUAUAUGACUAUGAGAACACAUUGUGAUUUUGGAGAGAUCUUAUCAAAGUGAAGAGUCUUGACGCUUAAGCCUCAUUAGCAUCAUGGCAAACAGCCCUCUAAGACACUGUUUCAGAGAGAGUGCCAUCAACACUGAUAAAAUCCCUCAAACCAAAGGCUGAAAGUGCUUGCACUCAUACAUGAGUGCCCUGUGGUAAUUUGGAGAAGAAAAAGGGAGAAGAGGAAAGCAGAAGAUUUCAACACCUUUUUAGCAAAAGAUGUUCACAUAAACCUGAAAUGAAUAUAGCCAAAGAGGACGUGGUCUUUCAGCACCUCCAGCUAAAAAAUGCUGCAGAGGAACUUCCUGUAUUAAGUACAGAUGGGGUUUCACCAUGUUCGCCAGGAUGGUCUCGAUCUCCUGACCUCGUGAUCUGUCCACCUCUGCCUCCCAAAGUGCUGAGAUUACAGGCCAUGGAAGUUGAACCACUUUCAGACUAUGUCCUUGGCUUAUGGGGAGAUUUUUCUAAUCUCAGUUCAUUGGUACUUUCAAAGUUACUUCCGGAUUACAGUGCAUUCACUCCUGUCCUAUGAAGGCUGAAUCAUUCACAUCAGAACAGUCACUUGAUUUUCAGUAGAGAAUCAAC